AUCAACAAACAAAAUUCUUGUGUGCGCAACAACAACAAUAAUAAAAAUCCAAAAUUACAAAAAUCUAAUGGGAAACUAUUGAAUGGCGGCCAUUAGUGGCCCCAAGCGGCAUCCAUUGAGCAGUCAACACCAUUUCUCCCAUCCAACCACCACCGCCACCGCCAGCAGCAGCACCACCACCACCACUACCACCACAAGCAACAACACCAACAGCAACAGCAACAGCACCACUAACAGCAAGCAACGACUUUACAGCUAUCAAACGCCAGCUAAUCCCCAGCACACAGCACAAAGUUACUCCAACGCCACCACCAACAACACCGCCACCGCCACCACCACUACUAAGAAGGGCAACAGCAGCAGCAGCAGCAUCAACAGCUGCCCAAAUUCUUCAGCUGCUGCGCCGCGUAGCUCAAUGAGCGUUUCGAUGUCACUGGUACAGGGUGGUGCUGCCGGUGGUGCGCCACAGGGCGCCAGCGCAAUAUUAGCCGCAGCGGCUCCAUACUAUCAGCCGCCAGCGGUGCCACAGGAUGUCCAACCGGAUCGUCCAAUUGGCUACGGUGCAUUCGGAGUUGUCUGGGCCGUCACAGAUCCACGCGAUGGCCGUCGCGUCGCACUGAAAAAGUUGCCGAAUGUGUUCCAAUCUUUGGUCUCAUCCAAGCGUGUGUUUCGUGAGCUUAAAAUGCUUUGCUUUUUCAAGCAUGAAAACGUGCUGUCAGCUUUGGACAUUUUACAGCCACCACAUUUGGACUUCUUUCAGGAAAUCUAUGUGAUAACUGAACUGCUGCAAUCGGAUCUGCACAAGAUCAUCGUGUCGCCACAGCAUCUAUCGGCGGACCACAUCAAAGUGUUCCUCUAUCAGAUACUGCGCGGACUCAAGUAUUUGCACUCGGCCAGGAUACUGCAUCGCGAUAUCAAGCCGGGCAAUCUGUUGGUCAACUCGAAUUGUGUGCUCAAGAUAUGCGACUUCGGGCUGGCACGCGUCGAGGAGCCCGACCAGGCCAAGCACAUGACCCAGGAGGUGGUCACACAGUACUAUCGAGCACCCGAAAUACUCAUGGGCGCUCGUCACUACUCGUCGGCCGUGGACGUCUGGUCGGUGGGCUGCAUCUUUGGCGAGCUGCUGGGCCGGCGCAUACUGUUCCAGGCGCAGAAUCCGGUGCAGCAGUUGGAGCUGAUUACCGAGCUGCUGGGCACGCCCACCAUGGAGGAUAUGCGUCAUGCGUGCGAGGGCGCACGCACACACAUGCUGAGGCGGGCGCCCAAGCCGCCGUCGUUCUCGGUGCUCUACACGCUCAGCUCACAUGCCACGCACGAGGCGGUGCAUCUGCUCUGCCAGAUGCUAGUCUUUGAUCCGGACAAGCGCAUUUCGGUGACAGAUGCUCUGGCGCAUCCGUAUCUGGAUGAGGGUCGUCUGCGCUAUCAUUCGUGCAUGUGCAAAUGCUGUUUCACUACCUCAGCUGGAAUGCGUCAGUAUACGGCGGACUUUGAGCCCUCCGCCGGGCAGCCCUUCGAUGAUUUAUGGGAGCGCAAGCUCACCUCCGUGCAGCAGGUGAAGGAGGAAAUGCACAAAUUCAUUGCCGAGCAGCUGCAGACGGGCCGUGUGCCGCUCUGCAUUAAUCCGCAGAGUGCGGCCUUCAAGAGCUUUGCCAGCCAAUGAGAAUGAGAAUAUCUACUACUACUACCACUACUACCACAACUUGCACUGCUGCUCCUGUCGCUGCCGCUGCUGCUGCCGCUGCUGCUGCUGCCGCCGCUGCCGCCGCCGCCGCUGCACAGGCCAAAUACCAAGACAAAGACCAAGUAUAUAUACUAGGCGCGUACCGAUAUACCAAUAUUAACCAAUCAAGUCAAGAAACACAGAAAACAGAUCCAAGCAGAAGGUCACAAAACAGAAAAGAAAAGAAAAGAAAAGAAGAGAAGCUAGCCAAAGCCGCCAGAGAAAGAAAGAAAGAAAGAAAGCAAAAUACAGAUAAAGAUAAAUCAAGCAAGAUCAAGAAAGCGGGCGAGAAAGCGAGCGAAAGAUAUGCCAAGAAUCGCAUUUCAUCGAUAUAUAUCGCAUAUCGAUAUCGAUAUCGAUACGACACUAUUGUGGGUGCCUCGGCAGCAGCAACUCUUGAAUCUUUUAGCUCAACUGUGGCACAUCCUUCGGAGCUGCCGCCUUCGCCACAUCAAUGGGAAUGACGGCAAAAUGAGGCGAUUGCUGCCUAAAAUAUCAAAAGCAACACUCAGCAAACAACAACAACAACAACUUGAACAACAAUAGCCUAGAUUUAUAUAUGAAUAUAUAUAUUUCUGGCUAGAUCACAUAUGGACAAGGAGCAAGCGAGUUGCAGCUCCGCAACAGGCCCGCUUCGGGAUAACAACGAUUAAAUUUUAAAGCGCCAACAACAGUUUUGCUCAGCGCUGUCUGUUUAAACGUUAAAGCAUUCCACCACCGAAACUAAAACAACAAACAAACAAACAACAAACAAAAUGUAACGUAACUCAACUGAAACUAGUCUAAAAAACAAGCAGAGUAAAAGUAAAGUAAAGCAAACAACAAAUGAAAUUGUUUGCGGCACAAACAAAGAACACAACAAAUUCGAGAAA